CCAUAGUAAAAUGCUACAACUUAUAUACCAUUCUCACUGAACAUGGAAUAUGUUUUCAAAAUGGAGUACUUAAUGGUUUGGAAGUAAAAGGGAUAGUUGACACAUAGUAGUUCUGUCCUAAUUUCUACCUACUUAAAACUGGUCACAGACCAAAGGAUUAAUUCCACAAGAGGAAGUUAGGAUUACAAAGAGACAGGCAAGAUAUUCACACUCCCUAAAAUUUGGUGAUAAUCGAGGUCCAUCAACUAUACUAUAUAUCUAAGAGUACCUAGUAACCCAGUGAAAAUGACAGUUCCUUUGGUGACCCCGUAUCAAUAAGCCAUAUGUUGCUUCAAAUCAUACAGAGUGCUUUGAACCUAGAUGUAUUCCUUCUUGUGUGACUUUUUAAGCCAGCAGAAGACUUGUAGAGACCGCUCCACGUGAGACUACACUCCUCAUCGUGUUUUCGUUCGAGCUGACCAUGUGGCCAUUACAAGGAACUACAUCUUUUGGAGCACACUCCAAAAAAAACAUUAGAGGGGUAAGAAGGAGGCAAAACAAAGGAAACAAAUGUGGGCCUGAAGGAGGAGAAUUACUAAAUGUCUCGCUGGGUUUCAGAGUGAAUAGAUCUAUUUUCUAGACGUGAGGAAAUUCAGACACAAAGAAGCCUGGACUUGUACAGUAGCGAGAGGAUGGCUCUUUUUCAAAGUCCAGCUCCUGGGGCGGAAUGACCGCACGUCGCAGGUGCUGCCCGGGGCUCUGUGCGGCAGGACGGGGUAGCGGCACGGGAGCGCGGCCC
rnacentral:lncRNA from 1 species